rnacentral:pre_miRNA from 1 species
UGUUAAAAAAUUAUCUAAUUGUAUUGUUAAAAACUUACGUAGUUGAUAGAAUAAUCAGAUAGUGAUACAUGUUAUGCCACAUGUACGUCAUGCUGACGUAUAUGGAUCAAUUUUUAAUAAUAAAAAUAGAGAAAAUUUUUAACA